UAGGGAGAUGUCCCAUCCAUCCCGCCUCGCGCCGCCGCCCCUCGGGAUCCCUCCCAAUCCCCACCUGCUCCUCAUCGAUCCAGAUGCCCGCGCCGCCGAUCCAAAAAUCCUCUCGGCCUCCAACCCGUAGCCCUCCACCUCUCGAUCUCUCCCCACCAACCAGCGCCUCCCCUGGAUCCCCUCAUCCAUCUAUUGCGGCCGCCUUCGUCCGCGACCAUAGGAGCAGGAGCUCCUACAGCCGCUAGCACCCGAGGCCUCAACCACCCGAGCACCGGCCGGCCACCGGAGCACCACCACCGGCGACCAGAACCAGGCCGUCCCCUACCUUCCCUUUUGUCUCCCAUCUCUCUUUCUUGCUGCCUCCUCCUCACCACUUUUCGUGCUGCUUCAGGGGCUCGCCAUGGAUUUGGAGCAGCGCUGCCCCGAGCUCUGCCUUGCUGCCGUUUUGCACCCGCUCCAGCCAGGAAAUGGACGGAUCCGUCUUCCCUGCGUCCGUCCCCUGCCUCUCCGCCUUGCCGGAGUCCAAGACAUCGCCGAACCCUUCGCUGCUUGGAGCCUCGGCUCACACCGCCCGGGUCCCGCAUCCCCGCCGGACCUCCCCAGCUUGUGGAGCCCCAAGACCCCGCCGCCAAGCCAGCCGGGAACCCCCGAGGAGCGCCGUCAAUCGUCCUCGUUCUCCACACCCGGAUUCCGUCAUCCUUGACCGGAUCUCUGCUCCAUCCCGCGACCCCGAGCUCGCCCGUUCGUUUCCUCUGCUCGAGCAACAGGACAAGCGCCCUCCUGGCCGCGUACGUCCCCGUUGACCCGAGCCUCCUCCUUGCCUCGCCUGGACCGCAAGAGCCAAGGCCCGGCAUCAACGGCGCCACUCCAAGGCCCAGCCGGCCUGCCCGCUAGGCCACAGCCAGCUUCCCUCAGCCGCAUCCACCGACCGGGCCGAAGCCCAUGGUUGUGCUUCUCCUUGAUAGUUCCAGUAAUGUUGCGACUGUCAGGAUCCGUUCGACUAUGUUGGUCGUAUACUUGAUGGAUUCAGUCUUCUUCCUAGCGGGAUUUCAGGCAAG